UCCCCACCUCCGUGGAGAGCAGCUGACUGUGCAGUUGACAUGAUACCUCUCCCAGAUGCUCUUCCAUCCUUCUAGAGCCCGGUAUUCCCCGUCUCCUAGCUCUGUGCUUGCCUCACUAGCUGGCACGGGCUUCUGCACAACCCGGCCUGGGGAAGCGUUCAACAUGGUGGCAGGAGACACACCAAGGAGAAGGAGCCCAAGGACAGAGAUAAUGCAGCCUUCGUGACCUGGUGACUCGGGACCAUUCCCUGCCACCUGAAGCAAGCAGAAGCCCUCUUCGGUUUGGACAGAGAUCAUCCAGCAUCCUGAGGCCGUUUACAUUUCCUUCUUUCUACUUUGAAAUGAGAGGGAAGGGGAGACGGGGGUAAGCAGGACACGCGGAGGACACAUGGGGCUCUUGUGGUUAGCGCUCGUGUUGCUUGAAUGCUCUUUCCAGAAAGAAGGUCGCCCUCAGGAGCCAUCCCCACCCUGGUGCCCAGCAUACAAUCAAAGCCUAAUCAAUAUUUGCUGAGUGAUGAUGGAAGAUAGCCAGACCGUAAAAAUUUAUUGUGAAUGGUAUGACAUAUACUAAGGGCUGCCUUUGCAAAGCUGGGGCUCCUUUGAUGGGUCAGAUCAUUGGGGUUAUACCCUCAUCUGCUUAAAAUCCGUCAGUGGCUUCAAGAAAACUCUCCCACCGACGUAACUCGGCUCCUGGUAAUCAGACCCCUGCCUGCCCCUGCCUUCUCUCCAAGUGCUCGCUCCCUGGCUCCUGCAGGACAGCCACUCUCAGCCGCUGCUGCUCUUUGACCCGGCGGCCACGGCCUGCUGGACAGCCACCUACCAUAGGCCUCAAGUCCUGUACCUGGUGCUCCCUCUGGCUGCAUCCUGCUCCCCCUUCCCUGAUCUUACUUAUUUCUAAAUAAUCUGCUCAAGCCCACACCCCUUGGGCAUGUAUUCUGUACCCAUGAGUCCCUUGGGUGAGCCCUGGGUGAAGAAGUGACUGUUUCUGAGUCCUCUUACACAGGUGGGUGCUCAGGAAAUGCUCCUUGAAUUGCUGCAUUUGUAAAGUGUGGCCUCCUCCAAGGAAAAAGUGCCCUGGCAUGAAGGGAAAAUCAUGCAUUAUUUGAUCAAAGGGUGGAGUCGUACAUACUUAACUGGUUUUAAAAAAGGAAAAACACACACAAGCAAACAUAAGUCAAAGUUGCUAAGGCACCGAAUUUCUAUUUUCAAAUUUCGUACGGAGCCAA
rnacentral:lncRNA from 12 species